UACAGAGGGUGCAAGCGUUGUUCGGAAUUACUGGGCGUAAAGCGCACGUAGGCGGAUCGAUCAGUCAGGGGUGAAAUCCCAGAGCUCAACUCUGGAACUGCCUUUGAUACUGUCGAUCUAGAGUAUGGAAGAGGUGAGUGGAAUUCCGAGUGUAGAGGUGAAAUUCGUAGAUAUUCGGAGGAACACCAGUGGCGAAGGCGGCUCACUGGUCCAUUACUGACGCUGAGGUGCGAAAGCGUGGGGAGCAAACAGG
rnacentral:rRNA from 1 species